AAGGAUUUAAGUUAAGUAAACUAAUAACCUUCAAAGUUAUAAAUAGAGAGAAUUCUAAGCCUUA
rnacentral:tRNA from 1 species